rnacentral:lncRNA from 1 species
GGGAGUGUUCCCGGGACAGCCGGGGGCGGGGGGAGUGUUCCCGGGACAGCCCGAGGUUCCAGCGAGCAGCCCUGGCCACGCCUUUGUCUCCGUGGGACCCCAGACUGGCCCCUUCCCGCCGUGGUCCCGUGACCUGACCCGGCCUUGAGCGGGGCGGGGGCGGCAGGACCCUCAGGUCUCUCCGCAGGAUGGCAGCGGGGGAGUGAGGCAGCCAGGUAUCCACAGACGGCUCCAUGUGCCCCACGGCACACACAAAAUAAACACCUUCAAAUUGAGCCAAGUACCCGGGGCAGGUGUGGAGUGUCUGCUGAGGCGAAGGCACUGCGGCUCCCUGGGGACACUCGUGGCCUCUCCAGGUUACUACAGAUGGGGGACAGCGGGUCCUUUGGAUUGAUCGCAGAGUUGAACAACAGAGAAUGUGUGCACAGUGCCAGGCACAGGUGUGGUCAAGAUUCACCUGGGAGAGGAAGUGGGCAGGGGCAGAGGAG